CCUACGGGUGGCAGCAGUGGGGACUAUUGGGCAAUGGGCGCAAGCCUGACCCAGCAACGCCGCGUGAAGGAAGAAGGCUUUCGGGUUGUAAACUUCUUUUCGCAGGGACGAAGCAAGUGACGGUACCUGUAGGAUAAGCCACGGCUAACUACGUGACAGCAGCCGCUGUAAUACGUAGGUGGCAAGCGUUAUCCGGAUUUACUGGGUGUAAAGGGCGUGUAGGCGGGACGGCAAGUCAGAUGUGAAAACCACGGGCUCAACCUGUGGCCUGCAUUUGAAACUGUAGUUCUUGAGUACUGGAGAGGCAGACGGAAUUCCGAGUGUAGCGGUGAAAUGCGUAGAUAGUAGGAGGAACACCAGUGGCGAAGGCGGUCUGCGGGACAGCAACUGACGCUGAGGCGCGAAAGCGUGGGGAGCAAACAGGAUUAGAUACCCGUGUAGUC
rnacentral:rRNA from 1 species